rnacentral:ncRNA from 2 species
AAAGGCACCCGCGGGAGCCCGGCGCACCGGGCUGAGAGGGAGGCUCGAUCGGCCUCCGACCGUAUGCACCUGAUCCGGGUCAUGCCGGCGAAGGGAGGAGGCGCGUUGGAUUC